CGCUGGCGGCGUGCUUCACACAAGCAAGUCGAACGAAGCAUUUAGGAUUGAAGUUUUCGGAUGGAUUUCCUAUAUGACUGAGUGGCGGACGGGUGAGUAACGCGUGGGGAACCUGCCCUAUACAGGGGGAUAACAGCUGGAAACGGCUGCUAAUACCGCAUAAGCGCACAGAAUCGCAUGAUUCAGUGUGAAAAGCCCUGGCAGUAUAGGAUGGUCCCGCGUCUGAUUAGCUGGUUGGUGAGGUAACGGCUCACCAAGGCGACGAUCAGUAGCCGGCUUGAGAGAGUGAACGGCCACAUUGGGACUGAGACACGGCCCAAACUCCUACGGGAGGCAGCAGUGGGGAAUAUUGCACAAUGGGGGAAACCCUGAUGCAGCGACGCCGCGUGAGUGAAGAAGUAUUUCGGUAUGUAAAGCUCUAUCAGCAGGGAAGAAAACAGACGGUACCUGACUAAGAAGCCCCGGCUAACUACGUGCCAGCAGCCGCGGUAAUACGUAGGGGGCAAGCGUUAUCCGGAAUUACUGGGUGUAAAGGGUGCGUAGGUGGCAUGGUAAGUCAGAAGUGAAAGCCCGGGGCUUAACCCCGGGACUGCUUUUGAAACUGUCAUGCUGGAGUGCAGGAGAGGUAAGCGGAAUUCCUAGUGUAGCGGUGAAAUGCGUAGAUAUUAGGAGGAACACCAGUGGCGAAGGCGGCUUACUGGACUGUCACUGACACUGAUGCACGA
rnacentral:rRNA from 1 species